AUUGCAACAGCCUGGCCGGGAGGCAUUGGGUUUCAAGGCACAGCCUGCUCGGGAGUGUUCCGCUUUGCAAGGGAGCAAACUCCUUGGAGCCGCGGAAGCGAAAUAAGGCUCCGCUUUUCUGCGCCUGUGUGUUGCCGCGGUCUGUGCUUCCCUUUCUUUGCUGAAGGAACUUAGAAAGAUCUUUGGAAGACUCUGCUAGUGAUGGCCUAUGAGAAUAUAACCUGAGCUACAGCUCUCCUACCAUUUGGCUUUGCCAAGCUCCUCCAUCACAGCAAGCGAAUCCAAGGACUGGAUCAUUCUAACCGUGACAAGCAAGCCAGCAAGAAUGCUUCUUAAAACUCCAAUAUGACCCGUGUACAUCACACAGAAGCAGGAGAGGGCAGCAACAUUUAUUUUUUCGCCUUUGCCGGCCACCGUUGAGCAAAGAUUUGUCAGCGACCUCUGUUCAGAAAACAGUUUUAGCCUUUUUUGUUCACUUCUCUUGGAUUUAACAAGGCUUCCAAAUUCGUGCGUAGCCAACUCCUCACUGGAGCUGCCAGGAAAUGCAGCCAGAAACAAGUCUCUGUGGUAGGAGAGCCUUGAGUGUGCUGCUCCAGGAGCUGCUGGUGCUGCUCUGUGUGUCCGUGUCCAUGUCCCCUCUACUGCCUGCUGAAGUACUAAGGGAGAGCUGGCCAGGAUGCACCUGUGGAAAUACAGUUGGGGGCGUGGUGCAUGGCUGUGUUGUGAAAAUAUUGCUGUGUAGACGCAGCGCAGCCACGUUUGUUUCAGCUGGGUCAGGGAUGUUAGAAUGAAAACUUCCAGGAUCCUUGACCUUCAGAGCCUAUUUACUCAUUCUCCACCUGAAGACAUUGUUCUGUCUGGAAUGUUAGCUAUGGAAAUUAUGAUGCCACUAAUGGAGGAUUACACUUUUGGAUGGGGAAUAAGCUGAUUGGAUUUCUAGAGGCUGCGCCUGAAUUCAUCCCUGAAACUGCAGAGGGAAUCUGGCAUGUUUCUGUCUUGCCUGUGCAGCUUUUCAUAUCCUAGUAUCAGCAUGUACAACAACUUGCACUAUGCAUACACAAGUGCAUGGUGUCCAUGUGUCUGGCUGCAGUUUGUAUGGGCUAGGGUGAGUUUUCACGUGACCCCAAGCAUGGUUAUGCAAAAUCAGAAUGCAGAAUUGCAUUUGCAAUUCUAGCGGCUCAAAAGAGACCCCUUUUGGAAAUAUUACUCAGACUAAUGCGCUGUUAGCCUGUUUUCAUGCAAAUAUCCCUGUGUACAUAAAUGAGUGAAGAAAAAUACAGAACAUAUGGUCUAGUUGCAUCUCAACAGAAUGUUUUUUCCAAGCUUCCCACAAGUAGGCCUGCCCUGUGUUUUGAAAUACGUUCUGUUGUCAAACUGCCAUCCAAAAAUUAGAGAUGGAUCAGAACCGAAGCUCUGGAUCUCAGCAGCCUGGAGCUUUGGGGAACCUUGAAUCUGAAAUUCCUGAUUGCCCCCAAUCUCUGCAGUGGGCUAAAUCAGACCCCUGAGUUUGCAUAAUCUCAGAUUUCAGAGCAGUUUAGAUCCAGAUCUGAAUUCUGCAGCUUGAGCUCCUCUGUACUGGAAAAUACAGAAAGCAUUGAAAGAUUUUCUUCGUUGCUACAGGGAGCUGCCGAAUUCUGCCCACGAAUUCAGCUGCUAUGCACAUGGAACAUCAGGAUGAAUGGACAGUUUGGGGUCCUUUAAGCAACUGGUCUGGGGGAAGCAUCCAUCUGUAAUAAGCCCUUGGUUCCCAGUUCUCCUGUUUGAUUUCCAUAUGCCCUUCUCCUGCCCUAAUUUUGCGCCUCCUAAGGGUGGGAGGUGUCUCCAACUCUGCAGCUGAUACUUACUGAGCCUUUUUUUAGCUUCCUUGUGAUGGGAUCCCCCUGGGGCGCAGCCUGGGACUGUGGGACCACUGUGUGCCCUUAACUUCCCAGUCUGGGCUGUCUCUCGCAAUGCUUUGCUAGGGUCCAGUAGAAAACCCCUCUAGGCAUUAUCACUCAGCCAACUGCAUGUGGAGCCCCACACCGACCUAGAUUGCAUGCAAUGCUCCCAGAGCCGCUCAUAAAUCACACAGAGAAAGGCACCAGAGCCAAAUCCUCCUAGCUCCCAGCACUGUACCCCAGGAAUAUACCGUCUUGCACUGCUUAAGAUGAGCAAUGCAGACUUAUUUAUUGGUUCACCGCUUCAUCACUGGAAAGUGGAUAUCAUAGAAUAUCAGGGUUGGAAGG